CCUAUUGGUUGUUGGAACAGGACAAUAAUCCAAACAGCUAUUAAGCUUUGUUUUGGUCCCAACCUUUACCGCAUUGAAGUUGAUUUAUGAAAUGUGCUUAAAGGCCAGGGCAGGGCAGGGCAAUGAGGGUAAUCAGAAUGAAUUCAACCAAUUUAGGCAGAAUUAGGCCAGAAGCUUGGCCACGAAACUGUGUAGUUCCUCUUCCACUUGCUAUGACACAUUUAACCAAAUCUAAAGGGAGUGUAUGGAUAUAAUUAAGCUUUUAUGGGUAACUUUAAUCACACGUGGAUGAGGGAAAUUUAUAUUUGUGUUCCCAAUCCUUCCCAAAACUCAGUGAAGUUGCAAUUAUCCUCAUUACAACCAGUCAAAAAGAGCAGGCAAAAGUAAUCACAGUUACGACGUUCAUGUACAUAAUCGGUGUGUGAAAACUUUUGACCAGAACCUUACCGUUACCUUUCUCCACACUUGUUUUUGAGUUUCAGUCUCAUCAUCCACCUUUCCACCUAUCCUCCUGGAGAUAUGUUCAACUCUAUGGAUUGUGAGCUUAUGCUGAGGUCAGAGCUGAACACCGCUGUCUGUCCAAACACGUUCCUACUGCUGAAGGAUUAAAGAACAAUGGACGCGUCUUUCCAGAAGCAUUGUCCGAACGAAUCGGCGUCCAAAUUCACAGAUCUUUGUUUGACCAUUUGUUGCUUUUUUAAAAACAUUUACAAUGUGGACUGUGGUCAUUAUUUCAUGGCUUCGGAAAAAGAUGGAAAGUGACUUGUUUGGAGACACAGAAAACAGGGUUGGAAGCUACAUCACAUGCAUCGCACCUCGUCGUUCUCCAGAGAAAAGAGCAAAAAAAAAGCCGUGAAUGGGCUUCAGCGUCCGCCGGGACUCACAGAAGAAAAACUCUUUCAGAGCAUCAUUGACUCUCCGUAACUUCUUCACACACGCAGAACUGUUCUGGAUCGACUGCGAGCCUGAACCCGUCUCUCCCGUUUGCGGUAGAGAAGAUGUGUGAAACUUUUAUGGUAGACGUCAACCAUUGCCUGCCUGGAUGGAUGAGUUUGUGAAUAAUGCAGCAUGCCAAGGGAGGAACGUCGUCAUCCUAAAGGGAUUUCUGUUUUUCUCUCAUUGUUGUCAAUAAUUUCAAUCCGGUGUGCCCGAAUGAAUUAACAACUCAAAAAGUGCCUUUCUGUGACAGUUUUAGACAUUUUUGAGCUAAAAUUCAGCUGCCAGACUAGCUAACUGUUUUCUUUUCUACUGUGUGUCACCACGAUGUUAGAGACUCCUUUCCGUCCUCACAGACGACGGCGCCCCGUUGCAGAUGCGUCGCUUAAUCACGCUCCACUUCGGUGGAUAUUCCAAUUCUGAAAUAGCUUUUCCGCCGAUGCAGAGCGUGCUCCGUAAGUCCAGAUGGACUCAUCCCUAUUCCACACACUUGUAAGUUCUCAAAGGCAGACAAUAGUUUUCCAUUAGAGGAAGCGAUUGUCGGCGGAGCCCCGGGCACAGCCUCAGACAAUAACACGGCGACCCAAAGCUCACAUGUCAGCCUGCCGGAGUCAACUCUCAUCACCUCCAGGGACUGAUUCCCACUCUGAAGUGGCUUAAAGACACAGGCUUAUCUGAAAGUAAGCUUGUCCGAGUUAAUAGAGAAAGAACAGCUUAUUUGAUUAAGAAUGCAUACAAAGGAGGAUGUAGUGAUCUGUGGCUAGGAGACGAGUCAAUUUCAGCUCCAGAGUACAAAUCAAUGUGUCUCUAACAGACCAUAAGACUGCUUAGCUCAGCAAUGAAAUUAGACUGAGGCGAAAUACUAAAGCAGUGAUGAACUUGUGAAUAAGGGACAACUUUUGCUGAAGAUGUUACAUUGCCCUGUUGCGAUGGUGUUUGCUUGUUUUCUUUACGAUUGUGAGUCAUAUAUGAACUCAUCUUUACUUCACCAUUGCCAUGCUGUUUAGUCAUGUUCAUAAGGGCCAUCUUCAGCUGGAAUCAUUGCUGUAUAGCUAACAAUUAAUCUGACUUGACUUAACAGAUACGUAAUCCUCCGAUUGCUAGGUUCCAUUAGGUUCCUCUACUGCAGGGUUUCAUUUUGGACCAUAUCUAGAUCGCACAUGUUUUCAAAUUGAUGAAAAAUGUAAAGCAAACUGUUCAAUCAUUAAAGUGGUAGUAUUAUCUAUUUUCCAGGCAUAUAAUGCCAUUUUAUAGCACAAUCAAAUAACAAUGUUAACUUCAGUUUUUAUAAAUAUGCUGUAUGUAUCAAAUAUGACUUAAAAGAAAUUUGACUUUGCAUUUCAAUGCGUUGAAGUUUCCAGUAGGAACGAAUAAUGAGAACAGACGGACAGAUAAGACACGAACAAUAUAUUAGCACUGCAAGUUAUUCAGAUACUGAAGGAAGCAGAAAGCAACACUGUAACAGCCAAUGGUGGGACGUCUAGCAGUACGUGGAGAUACGUCACGAUCACAGAGAACUUUGUCAGUAGUAACUGGACCUGGUACUGCGGACCAUGCAGUACAAGUUCUGAAGAGAUAAAAAGAAAUCCUAAAAAGACACAUCUCGUCCUGUCUUGUUCUCUUGAACGCAAUAUCGUGUCUCAUCUUGUGAGUUUUAGGUAUCGUUACACCUCUAAUGUUCGUAGAUAAGUGUAAUACUAAACUAUAGGUGUAACCGAUAGACCCAAACCGCCAGGAAUACAAAGAAAGAUUUCAUUUUGGCACUUUCAGCUACAGAGUGCAUUAUAAGCAUGGCGGCCAUAUUUGAUUUAUGAUCAAAUGUUCAAGUUUUUCUGACAUGAAUAUUUUAAAGUUCCUACUUCCAUGGGGAAAUAACACUUCCAUAAAAGUGCCAAUUUUUCUGAUUUUUGUUGUAAAAAUGCAUCAUGUCAUAAAGAUAGAAAGUUGAGGCUCAUCCAGGUUAACACCUCGCAAAUCACACACACUCUCAAACCCAUGGCAACAAACAGGAUUAUGUGGGUCACAUUAAUGUAUGAUUAUUACAUUAAUCGAUUUAGUAAUUUGUUUUCAGAUAAUUCUUAAUAUGUACGGGGGAGACUGCAAAUCACAGAGUGGAUUUUGUUCCAGGAUAAGACGAAAAGAAAACCACUGCUGUAUUUUAAUUCUCUGACUUUUCCUUUGAGUCAGGCUCUAAAGCAGACACCUCCUGCGUUUUGGGCUGUAAUUAACCAGAAAUCUGUUCAUCAGGCUGAGAUUCAAACGCGGGUAAUCGAUGGUGAAUCCAUGUUGAAAGCCGGCGCCAACGUGAGCGCAGGUCAGCAUGUGCUGCCUCCAAAGUGGCAGCUGAGAUUGAGAGGGAUCGAUCACUACUGGACUUCUAGUCAACAGGCCCGAUCAAUGGCAGCAGCACAGAACACGGGUAUCUGUUCAGCUCAUACUUGAUACCAUUGAACAAUUCCUGAUUUUUCUGGGAAAUAAGUUGUUUUUUUCUCCACAGCUCAAAUCAAAAAAGUGCAGAAAGUGAAUACAUAUGUAUCAGAAUAGAGACAUUACAAUAAAGCUGUGUAUGCCAAGUCUA